UGGGGAAUAUUGGACAAUGGGGGCAACCCUGAUCCAGCAAUGCCGCGUGUGUGAAGAAGGCCUUCGGGUUGUAAAGCACUUUCAGUGGGGAGGAAGUGGUGCGUGAUAAUACCAAGCAUCAUUGACGUUACCCACAGAAGAAGCACCGGCUAACUCUGUGCCAGCAGCCGCGGUAAUACAGAGGGUGCAAGCGUUAAUCGGAAUGACUGGGCGUAAAGCGUGUGUAGGUGGUUAGAUAAGUUAGAUGUGAAAUCCCCGGGCUUAACCUGGGAACUGCGUUUAAGACUGUUUAGCUAGAGUACUGUAGAGGGUAGUGGAAUUUCCAGUGUAGCGGUGAAAUGCGUAGAUAUUGGAAGGAACACCAGUGGCGAAGGCGACUACCUGGACAGAUACUGACACUGAGACACGAAAGCGUGGGGAGCAAACAGGAUUAGAUACCCCGGUAGUCC
rnacentral:rRNA from 1 species